UAGCCGUUGCAAAAGAAAUACCGACCCGAACCGCAUUCAAAUACGAACAAAAUCCGACCGUUGGGAAGUUCAUCGUUUUGAACUAAUCCAUUUCUUCGGAGUUAAUCAAAGAAAAAAAAAAACUCUGUUCACUCUCUCGUUGAUGAUCUCCUUCACCGAUUCGUAUCCGAUCUGAAAUGGUGCAAGAGGGAUCGACACAAGCGCUUCAGAACCAGAACAAGAAACGAUUGGAUCGAAACCGCUCGAAAUCGGAAAUGAUGGGGCUAGUUACUUUAGCCCUAGAUUCAAAUCGGCGGUCGCCAUGGCCGGCUGGGACGAAGAAGCGCUUCUAAUCGCGAGCCUGGUCGUCGAAGACACGCCGGACAGAGAGUUCCGGCAGAAGAAACGAUUAGUUCUCCAGUGCAAGAGUCCUCAGUCUGGUUCGAGAAGAAAACGAAGGGCUUCGGCAAACUUAAUCUCGAUUCCGGCGGCUGUUCUUGACCUCGAGGAAGAAGAAUCGACUGUGAAAGAUGAUGCUCUAAAACAAGAUCAAGAAACAGCAGAGGCUGACCCAAAGAAAAGUGAUUCAUUGGAUGAACAGAAAGCUGGUGCUUCUUCUUCUUCUUCUUCUUCAACAUGUUCAACUCUUCCAGCAGGAUACUCUCUCUCAACUUUCAACCUUUAGCUUUUUUUGGAUACUUAUCUUAUUCCUAAUUGCUUUGUUUUCAAUUCUUCUUUAUAGAUUUGCUUGGAAAUUUGCUUUGAACCUAGUACUACACCUUGUGGCCAUAGUUUCUGCAAGAAAUGUCUAAGAUCUGCAGCUGACAAAUGUGGAAAAAAGUGCCCAAAAUGCAGACAGCUAUAAGCAAUGGGAGAUCUUGCACUACUGUAAAUACAAUUCUUUGGAACACCAUACAAAUUCUUUUUCCUCAGGAGGUUGAAUCAAGAAAGGAAGCAAAAGGAGGGUGUAGUAGCCAUGACAAGAAGAUUCAAGACACAGAAAAGGCCUUCUAUAGUAGUUUGCAGAACCAUAACACGCGAGCAACCCAAACGUCGAGUAGACAUGGCAAUAGUAGCUCAAGAAGACGAAGGGAAAUAACUGGUCGAAACGAGGAUGGCGAAUCUAACAGUAGAAUGACAACGCAGCAAGCUCCAUUUUCAAAUGCUGUCAGCAGAGUUCAGUCCAGAAUGCACCAUCGAAGUGUUCGGCCAGUGAGGACGACGACUCGAGAUGCAGAUGUGAGUAGGAGGAGAGGUACGCCAGACCAAGAUCAGGAGGUUGCUUUGGCACUGAGAUUGCGGAGUUUAUGGAGGCUCUCAGAGAUGAUCAUAAUCAAAUGCAAACCAGAAGCUCAGUGUCCUUGGCUAGAGCUAAUCUUAGAGCAUUGGCUGCCAUUAAUGGUGCCCAGGAACUUCUCUAUCUGUAACGUUUUGAAAAGUGCAAAACUCUUACCCAAUGCCAGAUUGUUCUUGAAUAUUUGAUAAACAAUUGAGGUUUUGAAGCUCAAGGAUUCUUUCAGGUUUGAGCUGGGAGUGACAAAGCAAGAAGAACUCACAUAACUGAGAAAAUUGUACACAAUUCGUGGGGGGAAAAUAGGAAGGAACGAUGUUCAACCUCGGUGCUCGAUUUCGAAAGAGAAUCGGAAACAUUUUACAUUACAAGACCAA